rnacentral:rRNA from 1 species
GCCCCCCCUGGGACUGAGACCCGGCCCCAGAUUCCUACGGGAGGCAGCAGUAGGGAAUCUUUCGGCAAUGGGGGCAACCCUGACCGAGCAACGCCGCGUGAGUGAAGAAGGUUUUCGGAUCGUAAAGCUCUGUUGUAAGAGAAGAACUGUGAGAAGAGUGGAAAGUUUCUCACUUGACGGUAUCUUACCAGAAAGGGACGGCUAACUACGUGCCAGCAGCCGCGGUAAUACGUAGGUCCCGAGCGUUGUCCGGAUUUAUUGGGCGUAAAGCGAGCGCAGGCGGUUUGAUAAGUCUGAAGUAAAAGGCUGUGGCUUAACCAUAGUACGCUUUGGAAACUGUCAAACUUGAGUGCAGAAGGGGAGAGUGGAAUUCCAUGUGUAGCGGUGAAAUGCGUAGAUAUAUGGAGGAACACCGGUGGCGAAAGCGGCUCUCUGGUCUGUAACUGACGCUGAGGCUCGAAAGCGUGAGGAGCGAACAGGAUUAGAUACCCUGGUAGUCCACGCCGUAAACGAUGAGUGCUAGGUGUUGAGUCCUUUCCGGGACUCAGUGCCGCAGCUAACGCAUUAAGCACUCCGCCUGGCGAGUACGACCGCAAGGUUGAAACUCAGAGGAAUUGACGGGGGCCCGCACAAGCGGUGGAGCAUGUGGUUUAAUUCGAAGCAACGCGAAGAACCUUACCAGGUCUUGACAUCUCUCUGACCGUCCUAGAGAUAGGGUUUCUCUUCGGAGCAGAGGUGACAGGUGGUGCAUGGUUGUCGUCAGCUCGUGUCGUGAGAUGUUGAGUUAAGUCCCGCAACGAGCGCAACCCCUAUUGUUAGUUGCCAUCAUUUAGUUGGGCACUCUAGCGAGACUGCCGGUAAUAAACCGGAAGAAAGGUGGGGAUGACGUCAAAUCAUCAUGCCCCUUAUGACCUGGGCUACACACGUGCUACAAUGGCUGGUACAACGAGUCGCAAGUCGGUGACGGCAAGCUAAUCUCUUAAAGCCAGUCUCAGUUCGGAUUGUAGGCUGCAACUCGCCUACAUGAAGUCGGAAUCGCUAGUAAUCGCGGAUCAGCACGCCGCGGUGAAUACGUUCCCGGGCCUUGUACACACCGCCCGUCACACCACGAGAGUUUGUAACACCCGAAGUCGGUGAGGUAACCUUUUAGGAGCCAGCCGCCUAAGGUGGAAGAA